GCAGCAGUAAGGAAUAUUGGUCAAUGGACGCAAGUCUGAACCAGCCAUGCCGCGUGAAGGAUGAAGGUCCUCUGGAUUGUAAACUUCUUUUAUUUGGGAAGAAAUCCCGGAAUUCUUUUCGGGUUGACGGUACCAGAUGAAUAAGCACCGGCUAACUCCGUGCCAGCAGCCGCGGUAAUACGGAGGGUGCAAGCGUUAUCCGGAUUCACUGGGUUUAAAGGGUGCGUAGGUGGGCAGGUAAGUCAGUGGUGAAAUCUUCGAGCUUAACUCGGAAACUGCCGUUGAUACUAUCUGUCUUGAAUACCGUGGAGGUGAGCGGAAUAUGUCAUGUAGCGGUGAAAUGCUUAGAUAUGACAUAGAACACCGAUUGCGAAGGCAGCUCACUACACGAAUAUUGACUCUGAGGCACGAAAGCGUGGGGAUCAAACAGGAUUAGAUAC
rnacentral:rRNA from 1 species